UCGUCAACCACCUGAGCUCUCUGUAAAAACAUUAGCGAGGAGUGAGACGCUAGCUCCGUGAGUACUAAUAUUUAACCACAACCAUUUUAACGAGGAAAAAGUCAGAAAAUAUGCUAGUGUGAUAAUCAAAAUGAUAAAAUCAAUUCCCUUUCAGAAAACGAUACAAUAUUCAAUCUUAUUUGCCUCGUGUAAGCAAAAUCAAUGUAAACACUUAGUACUAAACUUAGAAAAAUAUUUUCAUAUCAAAUCUUAUAGCUGGGGUUUUCCAAGGAUGGAUUAUGUAAUCAGUGUGGCCUUCUCUUUAAGAAGUAACCAAUAACGGUGAACUCCUCAUAAAGGAGUUAAAUAUUCAUAUCGAUAGAUCCCUACUCAAGGAAAAUCAGUAACGGUAUGCUAGUUCUACCUUCCCACUAGCAAGGGCUUUAUCGAUAAUCUAUCACUACAAGGUGCACCAGGUCUAACGAAUCCGCCGUUAGCUAUGGAAUUCAUCAAGGUCUACUUCCAUUUAUACUUUUCUUGUAAUCAGUAGAAACAUUUUAAAAUGGUAUAAGACAUUCAAGUUCUUAUCAAAUCAUACUAUAUAAAACUUUAAUCAAAAUAUAUGUGAAAAUACUAAUUCUCAAGUAAAUGUUAAACUCUUUCAAUAGCGGCAAUCAUAUGUCAAGUAUCAAUAAAUAUAUCUUAUAAAAAUGAGUUCAUCUCAAAUAACUAUUUUGGUAUCAUAUCAAGUAAAAGACUUAUCCCAUAUGCAAGUUCAAAGCUUUUCGGUAAAUUAUUCUCUUUAUAAAUCAUGUAUAAACCAUGAAAGUUAUAAAACACAAAUUGUGGUAAGACGGUUCUUGUGUUGAAAUACCAAACUUGUCACAUCUAUAAUCACGUCAUAAUAAUCUCGUGUUACUUCCUUCAUUUAGGAUAAUUCAUACUACAUUAAGAUAUGCUGCCCUCGACAUUCCUUGAUUAACUCUCAAUCUGUCAAUUUAUAUCUAGUUUGUACUUCAGAUCACGGAAAACAGCCUCAUUGAUGAUUAUUUCACACUAUAAUAAACAAAACUAACCUCACUGUAAAUCAACUCUUCUUUGGUUUAUGACAAACUAUAAAAAAUUAUCCAAUCAUUUAACGUACUUAGUCAAAUCAUAAUAAUUGAAUAGACUCCUCUAUCUUUUUUACCCUUAUUUCUCUAACUUACAAUCCCAAUUCGAUAGUCAUGAAUCUACGAAUUUAAAUAUAUAACUAAGUUUAUAAACUUACUUGAUUUUCUCCUUCUCUCUUUGCUUAACAGCCUUAGGCGAUUGAUUCUUUUUCCUUCAUAUCGUUGCUUCAUCGGAAAGAGAGGCUGAACCACAUUUCUGUUCUCUCUUUUUGCUUUUAAGAAUUGCUGACCAGCGUACUUCCCCUCGAAACUCUUUAUCUGGGCCCUUUGCCUUUCUUUCUGCGUAUGUCCCCUCUCCUUUUCAAGCUUCCUCUCUUUCUCCAUUAAAAUUUUCUUCUUUUUGAUUGAUUCACGCAAUGAACCCAUAUCCUUAAUCCCCAUUUUUUUUCUUUGUACUGAAGGUGGCAG
rnacentral:lncRNA from 1 species